rnacentral:rRNA from 1 species
UACGGAGGGUGCAAGCGUUAUCCGGAUUUACUGGGUUUAAAGGGUGCGUAGGCGGGCUUUUAAGUCAGCGGUGAAAUCUCCAGGCUUAACUUGGAAAUUGCCGUUGAUACUAUUAGUCUUGAAUUAAGUUGAGGUGGGCGGAAUGUGUCAUGUAGCGGUGAAAUGCUUAGAUAUGACACAGAACACCGAUUGCGAAGGCAGCUCGCUAAACUUAUAUUGACGCUGAGGCACGAAAGCGUGGGGAUCAAACAGG